rnacentral:antisense_RNA from 1 species
AUUGCAGGCAGGUAACAAGAAGACAGAAUUCAUCUUCCUGUGAGUGGUAGCACCCAGGACUGACCUGCAUGAAACUGCAGGCCUACUCAACCCUUUAUGUCUGCUGAGAGAAGUCUGCCAUGGACCACAUACCACCUGACAUGAGGGGCACAGGACACCACUUCUAAAGUCUCCUAAACAAGGUCCCUGAAUAGCAAGCCAGACCAAGGACAAGUCUAGUGUGCCCGAGUGACACCUCCAGGAGUUUGAAGAUAAGGAACAUCACUCACUGUGACAGUUGGGGGAUCUCAUAGCCAGACUGGAUGUUGGAGAUGCCAGCAGCUACUGCAGCAGUGACCAUCAGCCUGGGCUUGUUGAUCUGCUUGGCCUCCUGCUCAAAAGCUUCACGCAUUUCCUACAGAAUAAUAAGGUGUAAUAGGACAGCUAUGAUGCUGAUUUUAGCUCCUUAAAUAAUAAUAAUAAACAUAUGUUUGUA